AACCAAAUUAUAUAACACUACAUUUUGAGUUUAUCCCCUCCUUCCUUUAAAACAGCUGUAAAAGUAACACCUCGUUUCCCUUGUUCAGUCUCCGCCCUCUCCGUCACUCGCCACAAUCCUCCUGAUCUCUUCUGUCUCUCAUUGAAGACUGAGCUGAUCUACUCUCCUGAGUCUCUCUACUCUCAAUGGUCAGCCGAGAGUCACGACCCUCAAUCCCUCAUCAGUUCCCUCUGAUUUUGGUUUCUAAAUCGACGCUCAACGUUCAGGCUUCUCUCCACUUCACAAUCAUUAAGUAGUGGUUAGCCAUUUCUCUACUUCUGCGAUUUAUAGGAUUCACAGGCUACCUCCCACAAUUGCUAUUUAUUUCUUAUUUAGAAGAUGUUAAGUCUGAUUUAGACUUGCUGAGGAGCGAAAUUUCUAAAUUACGCUGCAUAUGUGUUGAAUCUAUUUUAUUUGCUUAUGGAAAUUGGAAAGGUUCUUAGAGAGGGGAUCAAGGAUACAACGAAGAAGUUGCGUUGGCCGACUGUGGAUGAGUUAAAAUGGGAGAAGCUUGCAACAUCCACCGACCCAUUUUGUUGAAGCAUCUUCCACACUUUUUCUUGUCGUUUUCUACUCAAGCUUCCGAAUUUCUAAUUUAUACCUUAAGCGUUGCUUAUUUGCUUUUGGAACCUUCCUACCCUCUUAAAUAAUUAUCUCUCUCGUUAAUUCCCAUACUCGUUCUCCAUCUCAAUAAUUGAGGAAUAGAGGACCUCAAUUUUUUUGUACUUCUUUCCCUAAUUAACUAUGUGGUAGCAGAGUUCCUAUGCCGUCUGGUUUGGUGCUCCUUAUCUCCACUAGGCUAACAAUUACUUAUGCCAAUCGUUUCUAUUUAUAAAAUGAACUUUCUGAAGAA